GAUGAACGCUGGCGGCGUGCCUAAUACAUGCAAGUCGAACGCACAGCGAAAGGUGCUUGCACCUUUCAAGUGAGUGGCGAACGGGUGAGUAACACGUGGACAACCUGCCUCAAGGCUGGGGAUAACAUUUGGAAACAGAUGCUAAUACCGAAUAAAACUCAGUGUCGCAUGACACAAAGUUAAAAGGCGCUUUGGCGUCACCUAGAGAUGGAUCCGCGGUGCAUUAGUUAGUUGGUGGGGUAAAGGCCUACCAAGACAAUGAUGCAUAGCCGAGUUGAGAGACUGAUCGGCCACAUUGGGACUGAGACACGGCCCAAACUCCUACGGGAGGCUGCAGUAGGGAAUCUUCCACAAUGGGCGAAAGCCUGAUGGAGCAACGCCGCGUGUGUGAUGAAGGCUUUCGGGUCGUAAAGCACUGUUGUAUGGGAAGAACAGCUAGAAUAGGGAAUGAUUUUAGUUUGACGGUACCAUACCAGAAAGGGACGGCUAAAUACGUGCCAGCAGCCGCGGUAAUACGUAUGUCCCGAGCGUUAUCCGGAUUUAUUGGGCGUAAAGCGAGCGCAGACGGUUGAUUAAGUCUGAUGUGAAAGCCCGGAGCUCAACUCCGGAAUGGCAUUGGAAACUGGUUAACUUGAGUGCAGUAGAGGUAAGUGGAACUCCAUGUGUAGCGGUGGAAUGCGUAGAUAUAUGGAAGAACACCAGUGGCGAAGGCGGCUUACUGGACUGUAACUGACGUUGAGGCUCGAAAGUGUGGGUAGCAAACAGGAUUAGAUACCCUGGUAGUCCACACCGUAAACGAUGAACACUAGGUGUUAGGAGGUUUCCGCCUCUUAGUGCCGAAGCUAACGCAUUAAGUGU
rnacentral:rRNA from 1 species